rnacentral:rRNA from 1 species
UACGAAGGGGGCAAGCGUUGUUCGGAAUCAUUGGGCGUAAAGCGCGUGUAGGAUGUCUAUUAUGUCGGGUGUGAAAUCCCUGGGCUCAACCGAGGAAGUGCAUUCGAAACUGAUAGACUAGAAGGUGGUAGAGGAAGGUGGAAUUCCUAGUGUAGAGGUGAAAUUCGUAGAUAUUAGGAGGAAUACCGGUGGCGAAGGCGGCCUUCUGGGCCACCCUUGACUCUGAGACGCGAAAGCGUGGGUAGCAAACAGG